UACGAAGGGGGCUAGCGUUGUUCGGAUUUACUGGGCGUAAAGCGCACGUAGGCGGCCGGCCAAGUCGGGGGUGAAAGCCUGUGGCUCAACCACAGAAUGGCCCUCGAUACUGGACGGCUCGAGACCGGAAGAGGUUGGUGGAAUUGCGAGUGUAGAGGUGAAAUUCGUAGAUAUUCGCAAGAACACCGGUGGCGAAGGCGGCCAACUGGUCCGGAUCUGACGCUGAGGUGCGAAAGCGUGGGGAGCAAACAGG
rnacentral:rRNA from 1 species